rnacentral:rRNA from 1 species
UACAGAGGUGGCAAGCGUUGCCCGGUAUCACUGGGCUUAAAGGGCGCGUAGGCGGUGCGGUACGGUUUCGGUGAAAUCCCUCGGCCCAACCGAGGAACAGCCGGAGCUACGGCCGGACUAGACGGCAUCAGGGGACAGUGGAACUCCCGGUGGAGCGGUGAAAUGCGUAGAUAUCGGGAGGAACGCCGGUGGCGAAAGCGACUGUCUGGGGUGCCUGUGACGCUGAGGCGCGAAAGCCAGGGGAUCAAACGGG